CUAACACGGAGGAGGAAAGGAGUGCACAAACAAGCAAACCCAAAUCUAAUCACUCACAUACCCUCACAAGUAGUGGACAGACUUGAGGAUUACUUGCCCUUUUCUCUUAAGUGGGAGCUUAGAGACCACCAUCCACAGUCUAAGUUAAACCAACAUGGAAGAAAUCCUCAUCCCUUUGCUGCUGUUAACUCUGAGUCCUGCAUGUGUCCUCUGUAUCUGUGCUAAGUCAUCCUUUAUUAACUGAGACUCAUGUUGGACGAUGCAAAAAUAGGCUGCUGAAGAAUCACAUAGUUAGUGUAAGUUAGAGACCUGCAGAGAGCUCUGUGUAACUUACAAGCUUGUCUCUUUCACCAACCAAAGUUGGACCAAUAAAAGAUGUAGACCAACAUGGCUACAAUAAUACUGCAAACACAUAGAGUAAGUCAUAUGCAAUUAAAAUAAAGACAUCUGGAUUUUUAUUAAUAGCUUGUAAUGUAGGACACUUUCUUUAAACAUUUUUCCCUUGGACUGUUUGAGAGAAUCAGGAUUCACAUAUGUAAAUGUGCUUCUUUAUCAGGCUCCCAUAUACAACUGUGGCACCCUGUUGAGAUUUCCUUCAAUCUUCAGUUUCUUUGGUUUUUCCUCCUUUAGCCAUUUGUGUCUGGUAGCAUCUUUAUAGGCUAGCAGACUGCAGAUAUAUUGCUGCAUCCAAACUUCUUUUUAGAAAGGAAAGGAUCAAUACUGCAGCAUGAUCUCACAUUGGAUUACCCCUCACUUCAUCACCUAUUGAUAGGGUGGUGACUUGGGUAGAUUACUAAGCAGUUGCUGUGAAGCAAGUAGUACGGGGGAUUUUCUGUAUUAUGUUUUAUCUCACGUUUGAAAAAAUGACUCCCAGAGGAAUGUUAUUGCCGUAAGAUGUGUCAGCUCACACAGUGCCAGAUAAACAGCUCACUCUAUGGAAACAGCCUUAAGGCAAACACAGUUCAUAAAUACAAGCCUUGUACUUUGGACAAACAAAUUCAGCUCUGGGACCAGGAAAAAGCUCACCCUGUCCAUGGGAGACCAUCUGUGUUCAAGCAGGUAGAGUCCACUUANUCUCUCCUUGCCUUUUCUGGCUCCUGCAGAAGUUUCCCUCAACUUACACUGAUGGAAGAAGGCUUAAGAGAGAGACCAAACUGA
rnacentral:lncRNA from 1 species